rnacentral:rRNA from 1 species
UGUGCAAUGCACGAAAGUAUGACACAGAGAGGACACAUUUAAUUGAGCCCGUCAAAUUAAGUGCCAGCCGACGCGGUUAGACUUAAGGGCUGGUCUUUAUAAGUAAAAAGGCGUAAAGGAUGUGUAGGCCAAGAAAUUGUCCAAGAAGGUAAAUGGAAUUUUUCUGGAGCGGUAGAAUGUGAGGAUAGAAAAUAGAACACCUAAGGUUAAAACUAUUUACCACAAAAUAGGCUGAAACAUGAAAGUGUGGGGAGCAAACAGGAUUAGAGACCCUGGUAGUCCACACUGUGAACUUUGAAGAUGAUGCUUAGCAGACCCGAAAGGUAAAAUCUUCCGCCUGAGUAGUACGAUCGCAAGAUUAAAAUUCAAAAACUUUGGCUGUUCACUAUUUCGAUUAGAGGAGCGUGUAGUUUAAUUCGAUGGUCCGCGUGUUACCUUACCCCAGCUUGAAUCUAUGACCGGUAUUGCAUGGCCGUCGUAAGUCCGUGUGUUAAGCUAGAAGGGACCCAAUCCGGGCGUUUGCCCGAAGGAAGUCAGGUCUUAUGAUCCGAAUGUUGGGGGAUUUUAUGCGCUACAUUUUCUUAUAUAAUGAGAGACUUGAAAGGUAAGCCUCUAAAGUAAGAGUUCGGAAGGUCGCUGUAAAACGACUGGAAGUUGGAUUUAAUAGUAAUCGGAAAGUAGGGCGUUCCGGUGAAUUGGUACAAGUGUUAGCACAAAUUGCCCGUCACCUUUACCUAGGAUGGUUAUUCGGACGCCUUCGGUGGUUAC